UCUCCGUAGGUGAACCUGCGGAGGGAUCACUACAGGCUUGCAAAAGCUCUGAAACCACUGUUUAUCUACCUGAAUCUGCUUCGGCGGGCGGCCCCAGGGCGGGGCCGUAGCCGCAAGGCGCCCGCCGAAGACCCCUAAACCCUGUCGUCUUGAGAAUCUCUGAGUAAUUAUAUUAAACAAAAAACAACUUUCAACAACGGAUCUCUUGGCUCUG
rnacentral:misc_RNA from 1 species